rnacentral:misc_RNA from 1 species
GCGGCGACGAUGAUCAUUUAAUGAACGGCGCUUGUAAUUCACGCGCGACCGCAGAGAGUGACGUCCGAAGUUUUAGGAGCAGCCGCCGAUGCCAAGCUGGAGGCGGCAGCAGCGGCGGCUUGUCAUUGGCUUUUGAUGAUGAUGCAGGUAAGGCCACGUCAUCAUCUCGGAUCAUUCAUCAGUUUCGUGGACAAGACAGCCUGGCAGCGCAGUCUCCACGUGGACGACACAUGGCGUCUUCGGCACCUGUGAAUGUUCCUGAUUGGUCAAAGAUAUAUCGAGUUGACUCAGUUGAGUCAUUUCAUGACUCGGACGACGGUGCUGAUGAUCAUGAGUUGGAUAUGAUUCCCCCACAUGAGUAUUUGGCUCGUGGAUAUGGUAGAUCUCGAAAAUCAACAACUGAUUCGAUGUUUGAAGGUGUGGGAAGGACAUUAAAGGGUAGGGACAUGAGUCGAGUUCGAGAUG